UGGGGAAUAUUGGACAAUGGGGGCAACCCUGAUCCAGCCAUGCCGCGUGUGUGAAGAAGGCCUUUUGGUUGUAAAGCACUUUAAGCGAGGAGGAGGCUACCUGUAUUAAUACUAUAGGCUAGUGGACGUUACUCGCAGAAUAAGCACCGGCUAACUCUGUGCCAGCAGCCGCGGUAAUACAGAGGGUGCGAGCGUUAAUCGGAAUUACUGGGCGUAAAGCGCGCGUAGGCGGUUUGUUAAGUCGGAUGUGAAAUCCCCGGGCUCAACCUGGGAAUUGCAUUCGAUACUGGCAAGCUAGAGUAUGGGAGAGGAAGGUAGAAUUCCAGGUGUAGCGGUGAAAUGCGUAGAUAUCAAGAGGAACACCUGAGGUGAAGACGGGUUGCUGGGCUGAUACUGACGCUGAGGCGCGAAAGCUAGGGUAGCAAACGGGAUUAGAUACCCAAGUAGUCCCUGAGCGGGCUGGCAAGGCGCAU
rnacentral:rRNA from 1 species